CACGGGAUGAACCCCUUAAUUGUUAGUAUGCAGGUAUGUCCUCGUCAGUUGGCAACAUAAGUAGAAGGUUUAUCAUUUCCUGGCUAUAUUUUCCAGUAUGAACUUUGAGGGUGUACGAGUAACAUUUGCUUUAUAUAUGCAAAACGAUUUUGGAUAUUUAGUAAGAAAUAGGACUCACUUUGCUUGAAGAAACAGCCACGAAGUCAUUUUCACCUGUAGGUUCCACAUCUUCCAAAGUAUCACAGUACGUAUCGUUGCAGACACAUACGAUCCCAUCGGUAAAUUCUUGUGGGGCGCAUGGCAUAGCUAGAGCUACAAUGCGUAUUAAAAUCCACUUACACUGAGUUGUCUCCACGACUAGCAUCAACGCCGCAAACGCCAUAUAAACUCUCAUGGUUCUAACUCACCAGCAAUCAACAACUUUUUCGGAACAAUUUCUUGCAAUUGAU